rnacentral:rRNA from 1 species
CCUACGGGAGGCAGCAGUGAGGAAUAUUGGUCAAUGGGCUUACGCCUGAACCAGCCAAGUCGCGUGAGGGAAGACUGCCCUAUGGGUUGUAAACCUCUUUUGUCAGGGAGCAACGCCGGCUACGUGUAGCCGGACUGAGAGUACCUGAAGAAAAAGCAUCGGCUAACUCCGUGCCAGCAGCCGCGGUAAUACGGAUGAUGCGAGCGUUAUCCGGAUUGAUUGGGUUUAAAGGGUGCGUAGGCGGAAUGCCAAGUCAGCGGUAAAAUCGCGGGGCUCAACCUCGCUCCGCCGUUGAAACUGGCGUUCUUGAGUGGGCGAGAAGUAUGAGGAAUGCGUGGUGUAGCGGUGAAAUGCAUAGAUAUCACGCAGAACUCCGAUUGCGAAGGCAGCAUACCGGCGCCCAACUGACGCUGAAGCACGAAAGCGUGGGUAUCGAACAGGAUUAGAUACCCGAGUAGUC